CCAGACCUGACCCUACAGUUCUGACAGAGGCACCCAGAUCUGAACUCACAGGUCCUCCUCCCAUUCUGUGAUCAUCACGGAACACAGAACAUUGAGCAUGGAGUUGAGACUGAGCUGGGUUUUUCUUGUUGUUCUUUUAAAAGGUGUCCAGUGUGAAGUGCAGCUGGUGGAGUCUGGGGGUGGCCUGAUACAGCCUGGAAAGUCCCUGAAACUCUCCUGUGCAGCCUCUGGAUUCACAUUCAGUAAUGCUUGGAUGAACUGGGUCCGCCAGGCUCCAGGAAAGGGGCUGGAGUGGGUUGCAAAAAUUGAACCCAAAAGUUAUAAUUAUGCAACACACUAUGUGGAGUCUGUGAAAGGCAGAUUCACCAUCUCAAGAGAUGAUUCCAAAAGCAGCCUCUACCUGCAAAUGAACAGCUUAAGAGCUGAAGACACCGCCAUUUAUUACUGUGUUAGACACGGUGAGGGAUCUUCAGUGAGAACCCAGACACAAACCUCCCUGCAGCGGUGCUCAGAACCAGCAGGGGGCGCAAAGCGCACACAGAGAGGAGGAGCAGUUCAGUUCAGGAGCAGGAACAGUUGAUUGCUGUUUAUGUGGUCACAGCUGUUGCUCCAUCUACUCAUUUCUCAGAAUGUUCUCUACAUUUACCGUUUGUGAAAACUGUUCUGCUUUU